UACGAAGGGGGCUAGCGUUGCUCGGAAUCACUGGGCGUAAAGGGUGCGUAGGUGGUGAGGUAAGUCGGAUGUGAAAGCUCCGAGCUCAACUCGGAAAUGGCAUUGGAAACUACCUUGCUCGAGGGUUUGAGGGGGGACUGGAAUACUUGGUGUAGCAGUGAAAUGCGUAGAUAUCAAGUAGAACACCAGUGGCGAAGGCGAGUCCCUGGAAAACUCCUGACACUGAGGCACGAAAGCUAGGGGAGCAAACAGG
rnacentral:rRNA from 1 species